GCGAAUCNCAAAACUACGGCUCAGUUCAGAUUGCAGGCUGCAACUCGCCUGCAUGAAGUUGGAAUUGCUAGUAAUCGCGAAUCAGAAUGUCGCGGUGAAUACGUUCCCGGGCCUUGUACACACCGCCCGUCACACCAUGAGAGUCGAUAACACCCGAAGCCUGUGAGCUAACCUUUUAGGGGGCAGCAGUCGAAGGUGGGGUUGAUGAUUGGGGUGAAGUCGUAACAAGGUAUC
rnacentral:rRNA from 1 species